rnacentral:rRNA from 1 species
UCAAGCGAACAAGGGCGCAGGGCGAAUGCCUUGGCACUGGGAGCCGAUGAAAGACGUGAUAAGCUGCGAUAAGCUUCGGGGAGCUGCAAAUAAGCAUUGAUCCGGAGAUUUCUGAAUGAGGAAACUCACCUGGGUUCAUACUCAGGUACAAUACACUGAAAUUCAAAAUAGGUGUAUUGAGGGAACCGCCUGAACUGAAACAUCUAAGUAGGGCGAGGAAGAGACAUCAAACGAGAUUCCGUAAGUAGUGGCGAGCGAACGCGGAAGAGGGCAAACCGAGAGUAGAAAUACUUUCGGGGUACGGACUGCUUUUAAGACUUAAUCUGUUAACCGAACGGCAUGGGAAGGCCGGUCAGAGAGUGUGAGAACCACGUAGGUGAAAACGGAGAGAGCUGCGCAGGAUCCAGAGUACGGCCAGACACGUGAAACCUGGUCGGAAUACGGGGGGACCACCCUCCAACCCUAAAUACUACCCAGUGACCGAUAGCGUAUAGUACUGUGAAGGAAAGGUGAAAAGCACCCCGGGAGGGGAGUGAAAAAGAACCUGAAACCCUGUGCCUACAAGCACCUAGAGCACGUCAAUGUGUGAUAGGGUACUUUUUGUAGAACGGUCCGGCGAGCGAUUGUAUGCAGCAAGGUUAAGGACUUAAGGUCUGGAGCCGAAGCGAAAGCGAGUUUGAAAAGGGCGUUAAGUUGCAUACAAUGGGCCCGAAACCGGGUGACCUACCCAUGGUCAGGUUGAAGUGGAAGUAAAAUUCCAUGGAGGACCGAACCGACCUCCGUUGAAAAGGCGGCGGAUGAACUGUGGGUAGCGGAGAAAUUCCAAUCGAACCCGGAGAUAGCUGGUUCUCCCCGAAAUAGUUUUAGGACUAGCCUCAAGUUAGAUACCUGGAGGUAAAGCACUGAAUAGCCUAGCGGCCGAGAGGUUAGCGAAGCUUAUCAAACUCAGAAUGCCAGAGUAUUGAUGCUUGGGAGUCAGACAGUGUCAGAUAAAUGUCAUUGUCAAAAGGGAAACAGCCCAGAUCUACAGCUAAGGUCCCAAAGUCAGGUUAAGUGGAAAACGAUGUGAAGAUACGCAGACAACCAGGAUGUUGGCUCAGAAGCAGCCACUCAUUCAAAGAGUGCGUAAUAGCUCACUGGUCGAGCGUCUUUGCGCGGAGAAUUUAACGGGGCUAAACCUGACACCGAAGCUUAGGCAAUGUAGUAAUACAUUGGGUAGGGGAGCGUUGUAUACGCGGUGAAACAGUAGCGCAAGCGGCUGUGGAGUGUAUAGAAGUGAGAAUGCCGGAAUGAGUAGCGCGAAUGCAGUGAGAAUCUGCAUGGCCGAAAGCCUCAGGUUUCUGGAGGAAGGUUCGUCCGCUCCAGGUUAGUCGGGAGCUAAGGUGAGGCCUAACGGCGUAGCCGAUGCACAGACGGUAGAGAUUCCGUCACCACCAAAAGAGUUAAACACAGGGACACAUUUGAAGUCUCGGAGCCGGGUGUUGGUUCCGGUAGCGAUCGAGGGAAGUUAGUACCGAAGUCCGGGAUGGAAGAUGGCGAGAAAAGCUGUGUGUAUUUCUGCGGUGCCCGUACCGCAAACCGACACAGGUAGGUAGGAAGAAGAUUCUAAGGCCAACGGGAGAAGGGUUGUUAAGGAACUCGGCAAAUUGACCCCGUAACUUCGGGAGAAGGGGUGCUCCAGAGAUGGAGCCGCAGAGAAUCGGCCCAAGCAACUGUUUACCAAAAACACAGGUUUGUGCUAAAUCGAAAGAUGACGUAUACGAGCUGACGCCUGCCCGGUGCUGGAAGGUUAAGAGGAGAUGUGCAAGCAUUGAAUCGAAGCCCCAGUGAACGGCGGCCGUAACUAUAACGGUCCUAAGGUAGCGAAAUUCCUUGUCAGGUAAGUUCUGACCCGCAUGAAAGGCGUAAUGAUUUGGGCACUGUCUCAACAGCCCGCCCGGCGAAAUUGUAGUACCGGUGAAGAUGCCGGUUACCCGCGACAAGACGGAAAGACCCCAUGGAGCUUUACUGUAGCCUAAUAUUGGGUUUCGAUGUUGCAUGCACAGGAUAGAUGGGACACAGGGAAACAAGUGCUUUGGCAUUUGUGGAGUGGCCGUUGGGAUACCAUCCUUGCGAUAUUGGAAUUCUAACCUGCGCCUUUGAAUCAAGGCGGGGGACAUUGUUAGGUGGGCAGUUUGACUGGGGCGGUCGCCUCCUAAAGAGUAACGGAGGCGUUCAAAGGUUCGCUCAGCUUGAACGGAAAUCAAGCAAAAGAGUGCAAACGCAGAAGCGAGCCUAACUGCGAGACUGACGGGUCGAGCAGUAACGAAAGUUGGAGUUAGUGAUCCGGUGGUAUGUGAGUGGAAAUGCCAUCGCUCAACGGAUAAAAGUUACCCUGGGGAUAACAGGCUGAUCUCCCCCAAGAGUCCACAUCGACGGGGAGGUUUGGCAC